rnacentral:rRNA from 1 species
GUGGGGAAUAUUGCACAAGUGGGGGGAACCCGUGAUGCAGCGACGCCGCGUGAAGGAAGAAGUAUCUCGGUAUGUAAACUUCUAUCAGCAGGGAAGACAAUGACGGUACCUGACUAAGAAGCCCCGGCUAACUACGUGCC